AUGUGUCUCUAGUACACAUUUAUAGUUCACGUAGAAUAAGCCGUUCCGUGUCAUCUGGCCACCAGUAUCGACAGCGUACAGUACUUGCAGCAUUUAAGUAGUAUAGCUAAUUGAGUUGCCGCAUAAACCACGCGAUGCGUUUGGCUAAUUUUCAAACACAAUUUUCACUUAACUACACUUAACAUAAAUUAACUGGAAAUCAUUUCUUUCAAAAUAAUUUCGAGUUGCAUUUGCGCAUGAGACGAGGCGGAGGAUGAGGAUGAGGAAGGGCAUCGGUAGCAGGACCAAGAGCACUGCAGCCGGUACAUACAUAAGUGCACGCACGCAUUGCGCAGCGAAAUGGCCCCGCGGCACCCGAUCCCCAUUCCCCCGUCCCCAAGCCGACCAGUUCGAUACGGUCAGGACACAAAUUGCAGGACAAUCAUCAUCGUCGGCGGCAGAGAGCGUUGCCCAUUAGCUGGCGCAACGCAUAAAAUGCAUUGCAAAGAGGACCAAAAGGAUUUGAGGAAUAAUUUUCACGCCGUGCUUGCUCACACAGAAAGGCAAUCAAAAAUUGUUGACCCAGGCGAGUGGACGAAAGGAGUCAGGUCCUUCUGCUGGAUUUUUGUGUGGUAAUCAACAUCAGAUUGUGUCGGAUGUUCGGAGUGCUGAUAUGCGUGUGGUUUCGUUGUGGAGAGCCGUGACUGAGAGGUGUUCAUUUGCCACCCACUGCCAGCUCUCGUGACACAGCAGUUUAUGUUCCGUCCUGAGGCUUAUGCAAUUUGGUCGAAAUGUUUUUCAACGCCUGGUAAUUGGCGGCAUCAAUUCCGAAAGCCAGUCCUUGUUGUAGACGGGAAGUGGAGAAAGCCAUUGGUGGUAUAGAUGGAUGGAAGGGUAUUUAUACAUGUUGAAGCCAAAUGAAUUAUGUAAUAAGCUGGAUUAUAUGAGAGCGAUAAGCGUGACAACUUCAAUAGUUUCAUAUACAUAUAUAACUCACUUCUACGAACGUGGCAUAAGAUAAUAUUCGCACGAGCGAUAAUACAGGAGAACUUUUAGCACUGACAGUAUUUGACGGUUUGUGGGCGUUAGAGUGGGCGUGGCAAAAAGUUGUAUGGCAAAUCGAGAGAUCUUACUAGACUAACAAAAAUGUGAAAAAAUAUCAAAACAUUUUUCAAAAGUGUGAGCGUGGCAGUUUGAAGCGAUUUGUGGGUGGUAGGGUGGGUAUGGCAAAAAGUUUUUGGGCAAAACGAUAGAAAUUUACAAGUUUAACAAGAAAAUACAAAAAAAUCAACGUAUUUUCUAAAA